rnacentral:rRNA from 1 species
GAGGACGACGCUGGCGGCGUGGAUUAGGCAUGCAAGUCGAACGGUAUCAUCCUUUCGGGGGUGAGAGAGUGGCGAACUGGUGAGUAACACGUAGGUUAUCUACCCUCAAGACGGGGACAACCCAGGGAAACUUGGGCUAAUACCGGAUGUGAGCAACUUUUAGUUGUUUGAAAGGUGGCGUAAGCUGUCGCUUGGGGAUGAGCCUGCGUCCUAUUAGUUAGUUGGUGAGGUAACGGCUCACCUAGGCAAUGACAGGUAGGCGGCCUUAACGGGUGGUCGCCCACACUGGGAUUGAGAUACGGCCCAGACUCCUACGGGAGGCAGCAGUCGAGAAUAGUCUACAAUGGUCGGAAGACUGAUAGUGCGACGCCGCGUGAACGAUGAAUCCCUUCGGGGUGUAAAGUUCUUUUAUAUGUGAGCAGUGCUUCUUAUAUUAACAGUAUGGGGAGAGAGAUAUUAGCAUAUGAAUAAGCAACGGCUAACUCCGUG